rnacentral:tRNA from 1 species
UCGGUAGUUCAGCUGGGUAGAACGCUAGCCUGUCACGCUAGAGGUCGAGGGUUCGAACCCCUUCCG